UUAAUCAAUCGCGUCCAAAGUGGCCACUUUGGACGCGAUUUUUUUUUUAUCCUAAAUCCCUAGCUCGAUCUGUAUCAUUCAGCUCUGUAUCAGAUCGCGUCUGACGCCGUCCAUCUCCAUCAGCUCUGCUCCGACGCCGUCCAUCAGUCACCGCCGUCCGACGCCGUCCACACUCUCCAUCGUCCCCGCCGUCCACGCUCUCCAUCUUCCCGUCCAUCGCCGAUCUACUCCCGCCGCUGCCGAUCGACGUCCCCGCCGCUGCCGCCCAAGGUCGCCGCCGCUGCUGUCCAAGGUCGCCGCCCCGACGCCUCAGCUCGCCACUGCAGUACGGUAGCCGACGCCGCCGUACGGCGUCACGAAACCGUUAUCUCUUUCCGGACCGUCCGAGGCGGAUCUUCAAAGAAAUGCACAACUCCAGAAGUUUUUGAGGGAUUCUGAUCUGGAGUAUACGAGAAGGAGGAAGAAGAAAGGCUUGAUAUAUAUUUAAAAAAUAAACAAAAAAAGGCGAUUGGACGAAGGGAGAGGCGUCCGUCCCGUCAAAUGUCACUAACGGAGGAAAUUCAAAACGACACCGUUUCGGAAAUAGGCGCAUAGUGCAGGGUGCAACGUGGUGUAUGGUAUAACGAUUGCAGUCGCAACGGAAGAUGCGCAAAACCACCGAUUAACGCGAACAAGAGCACCGGACAAGAUGAGCGAAGGAAUCGUAGACUUAUUCUCCUUCAAAGCUACGAUCCGAUUGAUUAGCUCAAGCUUCGGACGGUGAGAGAUCGGAGAAUGGACCGGAGAAGUCUGAACUAUAUAAAAAGGGGAAUCAGUCUUCAUGACAUCAUCAGUUCACCCCGGUGAUUUCCGGUGGUUCACAUCUAUAUAGUUUCUCCUCCGGGCAGCGAUUUCUAGAGGCGCAAUCUAUUCUGAUACGUCGACAACUUCAUUCGGCAGCAACAAAUUCUAGAGGGUUUGGCAAUUGAUUUGGGCAGAAGUCUCUGGUUCAUUCUUUUAUUUACUUAUUUUGAGGCUGUCUUGUACGAGUGAUUGGCACUCUAUAAAUUGUGUUUCACCUAAGUAUUUUAAUUUGCUUUGGGUUUCUACUUUAUAGGUUACUAGAGCUUUUUAAUAUUUAAUUUGUUUUGUGUUUUCUGAAAGUACAAGAGCAGCGUGCAAUCUGGUUUUGGCCUCAUUUGUAAUUCUUUACCUUUAUUUAUGGUUGUUGUACUUCUAAGUUAAUGUUGAUUGCUUGUAAUUAUCACUUUAUCCUCCUUAAUGACAGUGCUUAUU